CCUACGGGUGUCAGCAGUGGGGAAUAUUGGGCAAUGGGCGCAAGCCUGACCCAGCAACGCCGCGUGAAGGAAGAAGGCUUUCGGGUUGUAAACUUCUUUUGUCGGGGAAGAGUAGAGGACGGUACCCUGCAGAUAAGCCACGGCUAACUACGUGCCAGCAGCCGCGGUAAUACGUAGGUGGCAAGCGUUGUCCGGAUUUACUGGGUGUAAAGGGCGUGUAGCCGGGAUGGCAAGUCAGAUGUGAAAUCCGGCGGCUCAACCUCCGAAUUGCAUUUGAAACUGUUGUUCUUGAGUACUGGAGAGGCAGACGGAAUUCCUAGUGUAGCGGUGAAAUGCGUAGAUAUUAGGAGGAACACCAGUGGCGAAGGCGGUCUGCUGGACAGCAACUGACGGUGAGGCGCGAAAGCGUGGGGAGCAAACAGGAUUAGAUACCCUAGUAGUC
rnacentral:rRNA from 1 species